rnacentral:rRNA from 1 species
AUACGUAGGGGGCGAGCGUUGUUCGGAAUUACUGGGCGUAAAGGGCAUGUAGGCGGUCUUGUAAGCUUGGCGUGAAAGCCCACGGCUUAACCGUGGAAGGUCAUUGGAAACUGGGGAACUUGAGUGCAGAAGAGGAGAGUGGAAUUCCAUGUGUAGCGGUGAAAUGCGUAGAUAUAUGGAGGAACACCAGUGGCGAAGGCGACCACCUGGACGAGAACUGACGCCGAGACGCGAAAGCGUGGGGAGC